UAUUACGAUUACGUGAUGAUGACCGUGA
rnacentral:sRNA from 1 species